rnacentral:rRNA from 1 species
CCUGAACUCCUGGCUAGCGGCAGCGGUAAUUCGGAUGGUUCCAGCGUGAAUCGUAAGUACUGGGCGUAAAUCGCACGCAGGCCGUCAAUUAAGUCAGAUGUGAAAGCCCCGUGCUUAACUUUGGAAUUGCAUCUGAAACUGGUGGGCUAGAGUCUUGUAGAGGGGGGUAGAAUUCCAUGUGUAGCGGUGAAAUGCGUAGAGAUGUGGAGGAAUACCGGUGGCGAAGGCGGCCCCCUGGACAAAGACUGACGCUCAGGUGCGAAAGCGUGGGGAGCAAACAGGAUUAGAUACCCCAGUAGUC